AUUAAUGAGGCCAGUCAGGCUGCACGUGUUGCGGAAGCUGAAAAGGAACAGCAAGAGCUCUUGGAUGAGUUACGGUUAGAGAUGUACCAACCAAUUAAAGGCAGAAGAUGCAACUGAAGAAACUUCAAGCUAAACAGAGACGCCUAAGAGCAGUAUUGGGUGAUGACCAGGAGGAAAUGGAUAUUGAUGAGGAGCAGUGAUCUUAAAGAUGAUGCGAUGCCCACAUCUUUGGGUAGUAUGCUGAUGCCAUCCCAAGAAAGUGAAUGGGAAGAUCACAUCCACACAAGACAAAUGACCCAAUUUGGCACAAAGAUCCCCCCAAAACAAGAUCGUAAACCAAGAAAGCUGAUGUUAAAUGAUUCCUCAGAUUUUUAGAAGUAUUUCACUGAUCAAGCACAAAUGGCAGCACAGCGGAAACGGAAGUACACUCCCAAAAAGCUAAAAAGAAACCAAAAGUUCAGAAGGAAGCAAAAGAUGUAUUAAAUAGGACAUCAAAUUGCCACCGUUCCAUCUGCUGAGAAAAAGUUGAAAAAGAUAAUGAGAAAAUUACAGAACAAAGCUUUCCAGAAUCAUUUCAGGGAAGGAGUCCCAUGUAAAAAAUAUGAUGCAUUUGCUGAACAAGACAGUCAAGCAAACGAUGAUAGUGACGGCUCUACUUACACACCUGAAGAAAGAGAACAGAAUAUGGAAGAAGAGAAUAAAAAAUGUGUGCU